AGUGCCAUGAGGUGAGCCCUUUGUGACAUCACAGGGUAAAUCCCUGCCUUAGUAAUAGCAGAGUGCUUAGCCUGAGGAUAGCUCAGAGCCCAGCAAGGAGGGCUGGGAUUCACACUGAGCACGUGUGUCUCCCUCGGCUUGGGCUAUUUUCUAGGAUGGACUACCUGAAAUUCAUCACGUCCACAUCCAUAUGUGUGAAACUGCAUGAGGAGGACAUGGAAUGAUGCCACAUAUCUUGCUACAAAUAUGUAUAAACAGUUGCUAACCCACAGACUCCAAAAGCAAUAUCACCUGCGGAAGAGGAUUUCAUCCACAAGCCUGGGACACACAUCAACCUGAAUGGUAGAUAACUCUUGAAUUAAAUACUUCUGCUACAUUUUUGCUAUCUGGAUAGGCAAGAAUCUAAAUAUUAAUACCCCGGAGGAGACCAAUGUUUUCUACUUUUUUCUUUUUAUUAUUAAUUCUUUGAGAAUUACAAAAGGUGUCUUUUGAUCAUAU
rnacentral:lncRNA from 1 species